AGAGGCUUAGGAUUAACUAAACCAAGAGCCUUCAAAGCUCUAAAUAGGGAUUAUACCCCCUAGUCUCUG
rnacentral:tRNA from 1 species